AGAGUUUGAUCCUGGCUCAGGAUGAACGCUGGCGGCGUGCUUAACACAUGCAAGUCGGACGAUGAAGCCCUUCGGGGUGGAUUAGUGGCGAACGGGUGAGUAACACGUGAGCAACCUGCCCUUGACUCUGGGAUAAGCCUGGGAAACUGGGUCUAAUACCGGAUAUUCGGUUCCUGCCGCAUGGUGGGGGCUGGAAAGCCUUGUGCGGUCUUGGAUGGGCUCGCGGCCUAUCAGCUUGUUGGUGGGGUGAUGGCCUACCAAGGCGACGACGGGUAGCCGGCCUGAGAGGGUGACCGGCCACACUGGGACUGAGACACGGCCCAGACUCCUACGGGGGGCAGCAGUGGGGAAUAUUGCACAAUGGGCGGAAGCCUGAUGCAGCGACGCCGCGUGGGGGAUGACGGCCUUCGGG
rnacentral:rRNA from 1 species